UACACUCUACCGUAACCAAGCUGGCGGCGCCCCAACAUCGGGCCGUGAUCGGGCUUCUGAAAGUGACGUCAGGGCCUAUUCAAGCCAGCCGCGCAAGUAGGCUUUCCGUGGUAGAAGUGGUAGUUCCGUAGGUCUGAGAAAUUGGUCUGAGGUGGGUGGUCGUGCUGUGGUCGCAGAGGCAGUCGCUUCGUGAUGGCAAGUAAGUCCGAGCGCGAAAAGCAGAAGCAGAUACAAGACAAGUGCCAGGUCAUUUUGGGCCAGCUUCUUCGCGAAGAGGACAACAAAUACUGCGUCGACUGCGACGCUAAAGGACCGCGAUGGGCCUCGUGGAACCUGGGCAUGUUCCUUUGUAUCCGUUGCGCGGGCAUACACCGGAAUCUUGGCGUCCAUAUAUCACGGGUCAAGUCAGUCAACCUGGACACGUGGACUCCUGAGCAGGUGGCUUGCCUCCAGCAGAUGGGCAACAGCAAGGGAAGAGCAGUGUAUGAAGCUAACCUGCCAGACAACUUUAGACGUCCUCAGACAGACUCGUCCCUGGAGGCCUUCAUCCGCUCAAAGUAUGAGCAGAAAAAGUACAUAGCCAAGGAGUGGGUGCCACCUCCCAUGCCACCUCCUGCUUUUGACAUUGAGCAAGAGCGUCGCAGGGAGAAGGACAAAAAACGACCAAAGCCAAAAGCAUCCACUGGUGAUGUAUCGGCACCUACAGUGAACAAGGUUGUGCUGCCAAGACCCCAGAGUACUGCCACACCUGUCCCCGUUGUCAACGCCUCUCAAAACACAGCUGACUUGCUUGGUCUUGAUAUUGAUUCAUCUGGAAGCGCUGCUUGUGGACCACAGACAGAAGAAGAUCCAUUUGACGAGUUCUUAAGUGCUGCCCCCGUUGCCACCGCUGUUCCGGCAUCGGACCCCUGUGCUGAGGAGAAGGCCUUCUUUGGCCAGACUGCAGAGCGGCGCAACGUACUCACCAAGGAGUCAAUCCUGUCCCUCUACAGCGCCUCACAGCCUCCAGCCUUCGCUGCACCUGCUGCCGGAAUGUCCAUGCAGGCUGUCUACACACCUGGUGGCGGUUACACAACUCCAAGCGUGUUUCUCCAAGGGCUUGCAUCGAUGCCUGGAGGCAGUAUGCAUCUUCCUCAGCAGCACAUGCCAGUGAGCAGCAGCAGGGAGACUGGAGAGGCGCAGCCGUUCCCCAGCAACCCCUUCUUGAGCCCAGUGACACGGCCAGGCAACUUGCCCCAGCAGAUGGCUGGCCUGCAGCUCAAUGCCAGCAAUGCUGCUGCUUGGGGAGGGCACCCAGCUGUGGGACGUGUGCCGUGGUCCAGCAACCCAGCUCAUCAGGGACACACACUGUCCACUAACCUGUGGCAGUGAGGACGUUGCUGCUUCUGGCGAUGAAAGGUUUGAGAUCAUCAACGUUCACUGGACCGCCGCGGCUUGCCCCCCGCUGCCAGUUCACAGAACGCGAUCCAUAGGGUUUGGCGGCUCUCUCCCGAAGUUGAGGAAAGCGGGCAUCACCUGGCGCAGCACGUGGCAGGGCCCUGUGUAUCAUGGAAGGAGCUUUUCGGAAAGUCCGACGUGGCGACCACAGGAGCACGAGUGCACCAGGCGAAAACUGUGUCUGGUAGGGACGAAAAUUGGCUGUGCGGCUCCACUUCAUCAUCUGGACUCUGCACCUGGGCUUCACAUCCUGGAAGAAGUAAAUGAUGCCACAAAGCCUGAAACAUGGAAUGCUAGUAGCAGGAAGCGUUUUGCCCAAUUAAGUUAUUUAUACUUCUUCGAUCAGAGGUGGGAAGAAAGGCUGUGCCACAAUCCUGUACCUAGAUCCCCCCCACCCAAAGUCAUUUUUUGAAGCCAUGCUUUUUUUUAUGAAGGUUUCAGGACCAUGUAAUUGUACAGUGUUGCCUUGCACAAAUUUGAAAGCUCGUGCUGCAAUUUAUUUUUUAAAUGAAAAGAAAGCUGAGCUUGCUGCACUGUUAGUUUAUGUGGAAGGGCAAGGAAACUCUGUAGACUACCCUUCUGUGCUUUACUUUAAACAACAAAAAAACUUACUUGCUUUCUUAUUUUUAGCCCACAUAUGUACCUUUAGUCUCACUGACCUAUUAAUUUCAUUGGUGGAGGUGUUGCGACUAAAUUAGUCUCCUUUCAGUUUCUUUUCCAUUUACUCGGUUUGAUGUUAUUUUGCUAGACAAUGAAUUUUUGCAUAUGCUUAGUUUUUGUUGCAUCCAUCUAUGGUUUUGGCAUAGUUAAGGGAAUAAACAGGUGUAAGCAGCUUUGUUCCAGUGGGCUCAGUCAUAGUUCCUCCUGCUUUCUUAUUUGGGAAUGGUGUGUUUUAGGGCAAACAUUUGAAAAAAAAGCUACUGUAAGAUAGACAACUCACUUUUGAUGAUUGUUUUUUUUUUUUAAUCAGAGGUCCUUUUUAACGAGGCUCGGCAAGUGUUUUGUUAUGAAGCUCUAGCCAUCACUUUUGUAACUGAUUGUUCUGCAUGAAUAAAAAAUGUUGCAAUGUU